AUCGCUUCCCGGCCUUUUGGCUAAGAUCAAGUGUAGUAUCUGUUCUUAUCAGUUUAAAAAUGUAGACGUCCCCACUCCUUAAACUUGGGUUGCCAGGACUUUAGAUUGGCCUCGAGAAGGGUACGUUCA
ensembl:snRNA U2 U2 spliceosomal RNA